rnacentral:misc_RNA from 1 species
UCAUCAAUCCAUUCCACCUAACUUGACUUAACACUCUUUUAUUAUCUUUCUCUAUUGCUUGCACUCUUUAAUGAUUGAAUCAAUCACUACGUUUUAAUAUUCUUUUCACCUUUCUUGCAUUAGUGAACUUCCCUCCCAAUUUCACUAUAAAGGCGGAAACCAACUAAGGCGACCGUCAAGCUAGUCUCAUCUCCUUCUCAUUUUUCACCAUGAAUUCUCAGGGUGUAGCAGUUCUAAUCAUGUCUGCUCUUGUACUUCCUCUUUUACUUGCACCAGCUUCGGAGGCUGCUGUUUCAUGCAGUGAUGUGCUCAAGGACCUGAGACCUUGUGUGAAAUACCUAACGAACGGAAGUGGGGCACCACCUGCAGCUUGCUGUACAGGAGCCUCAGCUCUUGCAUCUGCUGCAACAAACACUGCUGAUAAGAGGGCUGCUUGUGCCUGCAUCAAGACAGCUGCCCAGAAAAUAAAUCCAAAUGCUCAAUUAGCCCAAGCUCUUCCAGCCAACUGUGGGAUCAGCUUUCCUUACACUGUCUCACCCAACGUGGAUUGCUCCAAGAUUACUUAAAAUUGAAGUGGUCUGCCCGAUGCCUCGUCCGUAUUGCUUGUUAAGUUUCAGGGAACGCUAAGAGAGAACAAUACUACUAGACUAUAUAUCUUUGUACGGGAAAGCUUAUCUUAUCCUAAUAAGCUGGAAUGUCUACUAGCUAGGACAUCUCCAGUAAAUAAAGCUUAAUAAAGUGUGCUUGGUUUACGUUGUCCCUGAUCAAAUAAUUAUCCCUUUCUUUUUUGCCCAUUUGGCUCGCCUGUUACCAAGAUUCAAACUCGAUAUACAACUCCAGUUAAGUAUUCG